GCAUGAUAUCAUCAUUAAAGAUUCAUCGGUGUACGAUGGGGAUGCGUUCCAUUAGGUAGUAGGCGGGGUAACGGCCCACCUAGCCGACGAUGGAUAGGGGUUCUGAGAGGAAGGUCCCCCACAUUGGAACUGAGACACGGUCCAAACUCCUACGGGAGGCAGCAGUGAGGAAUACUGGUCAAUGGACGAGAGUCUGAACCAGCCAAGUAGCGUGAAGGAUGAAGGUCCUACGGAUUGUAAACUUCUUUUAUAAGGGAAUAAAACCUCCCACGUGUGGGAGCUUGUAUGUACCUUAUGAAUAAGCAUCGGCUAACUCCGUGCCAGCAGCCGCGGUAAUACGGAGGAUGCGAGCGUUAUCCGGAUUUAUUGGGUUUAAAGGGAGCGCAGACGGGUCGUUAAGUCAGCUGUGAAAGUUUGGGGCUCAACCUUAAAAUUGCAGUUGAUACUGGCGUCCUUGAGUGCGGUUGAGGUGUGCGGAAUUCGUGGUGUAGCGGUGAAAUGCUUAGAUAUCACGAAGAACUCCGAUUGCGAAGGCAGCACACUAAGCCGUAACUGACGUUCAUGCUCGAAAGUGUGGGUAUCAAACAGGAUUAGAUACCCUGGUAGUCCACACGGUAAACGAUGGAUACUCGCUGUUGGCGAUAUACUGUCAGCGGCUUAGCGAAAGCGUUAAGUAUCCCACCUGGGGAGUACGCCGG
rnacentral:rRNA from 1 species